rnacentral:rRNA from 1 species
CGGGGUGCAGCAGGCGCGAAAACUUUACAAUGCGGGAAACCGUGAUAAGGGGACACCGAGUGCCAGCAUCAUAUGCUGGCUGUCCAGGUGUGUAAAAUACACCUGUUAGCAAGGGCCGGGCAAGACCGGUGCCAGCCGCCGCGGUAACACCGGCGGCCCGAGUGGUGAUCGUGAUUAUUGGGUCUAAAGGGUCCGUAGCCGGUUUGGUCAGUCCUCCGGGAAAUCUGACGGCUUAACCGUUAGGCUUUCGGGGGAUACUGCCAGGCUUGGAACCGGGAGAGGUAAGAGGUACUACAGGGGUAGGAGUGAAAUCUUGUAAUCCCUGUGAGACCACCUGUGGCGAAGGCGUCUUACCAGAACGGGUUCGACGGUGAGGGACGAAAGCUGGGGGCACGAACCGGAUUAGAUACCCGGGUAGUCCCAGCCGUAAACGAUGCUCGCUAGGUGUCAGGCAUGGCGCGACCGUGUCUGGUGCCGCAGGGAAGCCGUGAAGCGAGCCACCUGGGAAGUACGGCCGCAAGGCUGAAACUUAAAGGAAUUGGCGGGG